rnacentral:lncRNA from 1 species
CUGCGUCAUAAUGCUGCCAGGAGUUCAAAGUUCUUGCUUAAGUGCAGAAUAAUGCAGGGACUGGACUGAGUUGCGUAGGCUCAUGAUAGAUCUCUUCAUUUCCUCCCCAAGCUUCUUGCCAAGAAAUGCUGGAGACUUGAGCUUUGAAGUCCUGACUUAAUUGGUGUUGGAAAAUAUGAGACACAGAUUAUAGAUUGCAUGGCACUGAAAAUGAUAGAUAACAGGAAUGAAAUUUAUUUCUUGCCAGACCUGAAACUUGUGAUUUACUUCCAUCCUCAGAGCCAAGAACCACAUGAAAACAGCAGAGACAACUGCACUACAUUGGAUCAUCGAGCUGCAAGUUUAGUGGUAUUUUGCAAGGUGCUGUCCAUAUAGCUUGUCUAUAGGAGGGGUUGGCAUCAAACUAAAGCCCAUGACAAGAAAGUGUGGCUUUCUGGGAUGAAAUUGGAGACUUCAAGCAUGGAACAGAGGCAGAGGGAAGAAUUCCUCAGCAGACACUACUUCUUCCCCUUUUUUUAACAAGGAUACUAUGAAACAAAUCUUCUGUCUGUAUUUUGCAUAAGUUACUGUGUCUAAAGUCCCAGGAGAGAACAGAGUGCCAAAAGUUAAUUUAUGUGAGUUCAUUGGCCCAAGGUUUCUUCCCCUCUUUUAUGGAC